rnacentral:rRNA from 1 species
GACGAACGCUGGCGGCGCGCUUAACACAUGCAAGUCGAACGGAAAGGCCUGCUUUCCCUUGUGGAUUGCGGGUACUCGAGUGGCGAACGGGUGAGUAACACGUGAGUGAUCUGCCCCCAACUUGGGUAUAAGCCUGGGAAACUGGGUCUAAUUCCCGAUAGGACUGCAGGGUGGUGCCUGUGGUGGAAAACGAUUUUCUAGUGGUUGGGGAUGAGCUCGCGGCCUAUCAGCUUGUUGGUGGGGUAAUGGCCUACCAAGGCAGCGACGGGUAGCCGGCCUGAGAGGGUGGACGGCCACAUUGGGACUGAGAUACGGCCCAGACUCCUACGGGAGGCAGCAGUGGGGAAUAUUGCACAAUGGGCGGAAGCCUGAUGCAGCGACGCCGCGUGGGGGAUGACGGCCUUCGGGUUGUAAACUCCUUUCGACCGCGAGGAAGCCACCUGGUUGGAAGGGUGGUGACGGUAGUGGUAGAAGAAGCACCGGCUAACUACGUG